rnacentral:rRNA from 1 species
CGUAAACAAAGGGAAGCGAGACGGUGACGUUAAAGCAAAUCCCAGAAAUAACGUCCCAGUUCGGAUUGUAGUCUGCAACCCGACUACAUGAAGCUGGAAUCGCUAGUAAUCGCGAAUCAGAAUGUCGCGGUGAAUACGUUCCCGGGUCUUGUACACACCGCCCGUCACACCAUGGGAGUCGGAAAUGCCCGAAGUCAGUGACCCAACCGUAAGGAGGGAGCUGCCGAAGGUGGAGCCGGUAACUGGGGUGAAGUCGUAACAAGGUAUC